rnacentral:rRNA from 4 species
AAUUUUAUUUAAGGUCUGACCUGCCCUAUGAGAAAUUAAAUGGCCGCGGUAUUUUAACCGUGCAAAGGUAGCAUAGUCACUUGUCUCUUAAUUGGAGGCUUGAAUGAAGGGUUGGACGAGAUAUAAACUUUCUUUGUUGUAAUUAGUUGAAUUUGACUUUUGAGUCAAAAGGCUUAAAUUUAUUUAUAGGACGAGAAGACCCUAUAGAAUUUUAUAUUUUUAUAUCAAUAAUUUAUUUGUUUAUAAUUAGAUUUUUUAUAUAAAAAUAUUUUGUUGGGGCGAUGGGAAGAUUUUUUUAACUCU